AGUAUUAACAACACUUAUUUUUUUCACUAAUUUUUAAAACGUGAUUGUUUAUACUUAAAAGUAUUUAAAAUGAAGACACGUGAAUGCGCACUCGUUUACUCGAAAACACGAAGUUUUUAGUUGAGAUAUAAUCACAUACUGCGAGGUGAGCCCUAACACUGUAGGUAAAAUGGGCAUGAAAGUAAAUCUAUUAAUAAAUAUGUUAUUGAAGUAUUUCCUGUAUUAUUCGAUUAGAUAACAUGACGUACGAACGUAACGCACUGAACUUAAUACAUGAAAUGCGCAUUAAGCCGCCAAACGUGACCUCCUAUCGGACAGCGUCAUAUUGAUUCCAUAUAUGGAAUAAACAAUAAUUCAUGGAGAAAUUUACCGGUGUUCUUAUACUUUACGAUAAUAAUGUGCGUAUUAUAGUGUAUUUUAGGAAUUGCAU